AACGAACGCUGGCGGCAGGCUUAACACAUGCAAGUCGAACGGUUGUAGCAAUACAGCAGUGGCAGACGGGUGAGUAACACGUGGGAACCUUCCUAGGGGUACGGAACAACUCAGGGAAACUUGAGCUAAUACCGUAUACGUCCGUGAGGAGAAAGAAUUAUCGCCCUUAGACGGGCCCGCGUCGGGUUAGCUAGUUGGUGGGGUAACGGCCUACCAAGGCGACGAUCCGUAGCUGAUCUUAGAGGAUGAUCAGCCACACUGGGACUGAGACACGGCCCAGACUCCUACGGGAGGCAGCAGUGGGGAAUCUUGGACAAUGGGCGCAAGCCUGAUCCAGCCAUGCCGCGUGAGUGAAGAAGGUCUUCGGAUUGUAAAGCUCUAUUGCCAGGGACGAUAAUGACGGUACCUGGAGAAUAAGCCCCAGCAAACUUCGUGCCAGCCGCCGCAGUAA
rnacentral:rRNA from 1 species